GGGGGCGUAGCUCAGUUGGUUAGAGCGCCGGCCUGUCACGCCGGAGGUCGCGGGUUCAAGUCCCGUCGCUCCCG
rfam:Thalassospira alkalitolerans strain JCM 18968 contig4, whole genome shotgun sequence.